CCUUAGGAUUUAGUUUUUCCUUACAGAAACACAAGGCCAGAGGCCCGGACCAGUCUGUGCUUUGACCACCGGCGAGGCAGGCCACUUGGAGGUACCGGGGGCCAGGAAGUGCCCUUCCUGCCCCAGGCACCACGCUGCUUCCUGCCACCGGUCCCCACAGGAAGAAGAAAGAGGAAGAUGCAGCAGGGCAGAGGCACGUUCUCAGAAUAUUAUGGUCCCACCCCUGCCAGCCAACGCUGCAGCCUUGGCGGGGCUAACAGAAAGGCCUUGGCAGUUUUGAAUUCAGAAGUGGAUCCCCUCUGAGUAGCUGUCCAGAGAGGGGACCAGGGUGCAGGGGCGUGCCUUCAAAUUCAGGCUCCUCUGCUGGGGGGACCCUCUGCUGCCUGGAAGGUGGGGUGGGAGCCAGCACCCAGCUGGGGCUCCUGCCACCUAGGGCCUGUGGGUCCCCGCAGACUAGGAACUUGGGGAGCGAGGGCGACGCCACCAAGGCUGCAAGAAGGCGGGAGCUCGUGGCCGGCCGACUGCCCAGGACUAGAGCGUUGGAGAGGUUCACAUCUGCCAGUCGCUCCUAGACACAAACGUUCUGGAGCUAAACGCGAGGGUCCCGCCAGCUCCGGACAGGACACCGGCGUCAACAGCAUUGGCCCCUCAGGCUGGCUGCCUCCUCAGCCCUAUGAGCUUCUCAUCCUGGAACAGAUCUGGAACUCGUGUGCCUGCUCACCUCUUCACUGUACCCCAGAGCAGCUCAGAGGAGCCCUCCAACUGCUCCCCACCCUAUGCCCCACCUUCUGAACAAUGGACUGCUGAAUCCUAGAACUUUUCACAGGUGGGGUAGAAAAUGGCUCCGGCUCUGCUGGGUCCGUGCCCCCCACCCCCCCACCCCCACCCCCCACCCCCCGUCAUUCAGUGCCAUGGUCCGCACCCAUAUUUUGGAUUCCCCAGAUGGGUGCCCCACCUUGAGCAUCCUUGGGAUCACUGCUAGAAAGCCUAAGAUUCCAUUUGAUAAAGGAAGGAAAUCUCAGUGCUUCUUGGGCAAGGGAGCUCCAAACCGCAGGUGCUCAUGCAACACACAUUCACCAGGCACCUACUGGUUACCCCAGAUUUGAAUGUUUAAUUCAAGCUGAGAAUCUGCUCAUGUAUAUAGCAUAAGAAAUGCACCUAACAACAGCCACUUGUUCCUAUGCCGUGAAGAGAUACAUUCUUCCCCCCCUUGAAUGAUCUCCUUAGCCGUAUUUUAAUUCCCAUAUGCACUGUAGCAUUUUUUCCUGACAGUUUUACUGUUUCUACAUAAUUCUGCUCAGCUGUACUUCCUGUGCCUUAUCAUAUGCUUGAAUAUCUCAAAAAGCAGAUCUUUCUCAUCAAAUAUUAGAACCAGCCAGCUAAGGAUGUUGGGGGCUGCCUGAUAGCUCAUUUAGACUUUACUGUUGUUGUGGUUUAGAUCUGGACUGCCCCCCAAAGCCUCAUGUGUGCAGAGCUGGGGAUUUGGGAAGGAGAUUGGGAGGUGGAGGUGAUGUAGCUGAAGAUAGAGGCUGGUGGCUUGGUGUGACCUGGAAGGAUACAUCUUUCUCCAACCUCCUGCCAUCCCUCUCUGCUUCCUAGCUGCCAGGGGUUGACUACUUUCUCCUGCCACCAUGUCUGUUUGCCAUGCUGUUUCUGCCUUGGAGCCAGCCAAGCCUGGAUGAAACCAUGAGCUACAAAAAAAGACAACCCCUGCUUCCCUUUAAAUCGUGGGAGGCAGGUUUGUACCUUAAGGAGAAACUGACUGAAACAAACAUUAAGUAGCAUUACUAUCUCCCCAUGGAAAACACAGUCUACUUUGCUCCACUCAAGUCUGUUUUGCUUGGUUGUUUGUGUCAGUUUGUUGCUACAGUGACAUAAUUUCCUGCAAAUAGAUCUGAUACAUUCAAUAGAGAUUUAUUCCGUGGUAUUCCUGAGAGUUGGUGUCUAUAUGACGAAUGGGAUCUUUCUUUCAUUAAUUACUUUAGAAUUUGUUAUUGUUGAUAAAUAAGACUAUUACCUUAUGUGCGAUUAAUUCAGAUUGCAUAAUUCAGAUUGUAAAGUUAUAAAAUGUGAUAUCUUUAGCUGAGCAAGGUAGUAGCAUGCGUGUAAUCCAAGCUAUCAGAGGCUGAGGUGGAAGGGUCUCUAGAGCCCAAAAUUGGGAGACCAUUCUGGACAACACAGUGAGGUUUCUCUCUCUCUCUCUGUCUGUCUGUCUCUCUGUCUCUCUCUCUCUGUCUGUCUGUCUCUCUGUCUCUCUGUCUCUCUCUCUCUCUCUCUCUCUCUCUCAAAAGAAAGAAAGGGGCAAAAAUUUUUCAAAACCAUUAUUUUCUCUGUCAGUUUAUUGAGAUUGUUCGAUCUUCUAACAUACCAAUUCUGUGUUUUAAAAGUUUUAAAUAGCUGUUUUACAAUGUUAUAAAAGUACUAAAUGUUUAACAUUUAAAUAAGUGAAUGCUAUCUGCAAUUGAAAGAUAUGCUUUAGGAGAAAAAUUAAAACCAUGAGUGAAUCUAAAAGUCUGGUAUCUCCACUUAUCAGAGUAAAGCUCAGUUUUGCAUCCUUUCUGGUCCUGGAGCCCAACCCCACCUUGUAUGAGGAGGCCAUGAUUACUUAUUGAGCUAACAGAAAUGGGGAUAUUGCAAACAUUUGUUCUGAUCAAACAAGAAAAAGUUAAUAGAUAACUGCUCCAGUUAGCUAAUUCCUAGUAAAAUCAUAAUCUGAUAAUUUUGGAAAGAAGAAUGCUUGCCACAUACUCAGAAUGCUCUUCCGCAUGAGUCUAACAAAAAAGGAAAGCAGUGAGGUUUUGGUCAAAUAUUCUGAAUUACCUUCCUGGUAAUUCCACAGUAGCCCCUGCUUAUCUGCGGAGGGUUCAUCCAGUGGAUGCCUGAGCAGAGAAUAAAUAAUACCAUGCCUCGUGUGAGCUCUGUGUUUUCCCCCACACACAAAGCUAUGGGAGCUGACUGCCUGAGAGCACACUGCAGUGAAAGAGCCAGCACGGAGGUAGGAAGUUCAGCAAAGACAAUAAACAUCAGAAAGCUGAGGGACAAGAAUUGAGAAAUCAGCAGAGGUACAACUACAUCCAAAUGCGAGAAGAUCAAUGCAUACAGGUCAGCCGGUCCACUCCUCAAGGCCCCCGGGGCAGGCACAAAUUCAAAAGGAUAUAACCCUGACCUGUGUACAGUCUCAUUGGCAUUGGAGUUUUAACGCUCCCCUACCCACAGUGGAUCCUGGGUGCCGUGACACCUCCUCUGAGAACCUUGUAUGAUCAGAAACUCCCCAGGCUGCUGGGUGAGCUGUCAGGUGCCCCAUUGGCCCAUAACUCCCGUCAAUCUCCCAUAGCUCCUCCCACAUCCCCAGACCCUAAAGAGACCCUGUGCCUGUCCCUAUUAAAGCCCUUAGCUCUUCUCACUGGCAUAAUCUUGCCCUUUUUUUUUUUUGCUUCUUUUGCUUUUAAUGAACAUUACUGUUGCCAUUCCUUUUGAGCACAUUGUUUGAGAUACCAAGAACUUGGAACAACUGCCCUAGGAACCUAGAGCCAGUGACAGCACCACACCUCUGACACUGGGGCUGCUGAACUACUGCUGAUCCCUGCUGUGAUAAAAAGCUGAAGAGGCAAAGGAAAUGGAACAGUGACUCUCAAGUUCUGCUUUGGUCCAGUGACUUUUUUUUUUUUUUAGAGAAUAGUGCUUCAACAGGAAGCAAUUUGGCUA